rnacentral:rRNA from 1 species
AUUGAACGCUGGCGGCAGGCCUAACACAUGCAAGUCGAACGGUAGCACAGAGAGCUUGCUCUCGGGUGACGAGUGGCGGACGGGUGAGUAAUGUCUGGGAAACUGCCCGAUGGAGGGGGAUAACUACUGGAAACGGUAGCUAAUACCGCAUAACGUCUUCGGACCAAAGUGGGGGACCUUCGGGCCUCACACCAUCGGAUGUGCCCAGAUGGGAUUAGCUAGUAGGUGGGGUAAUGGCUCACCUAGGCGACGAUCCCUAGUUGGUCUGAGAGGAUGACCAGCCAGACUGGAACUGAGACACGGUCCAGACUUCUACGGGAGGCGGCAGUGGGGAAUAUUGCACAAUGGGCGCAAGCCUGAUGCAGCCAUGCCGCGUGUAUGAAGAAGGCCUUCGGGUUGUAAAGUACUUUCAGCGGGGAGGAAGGCGUUAAGGUUAAUAACCUUGGCGAUUGACGUUACCCGCAGAAGAAGCACCGGCUAACUCCGUGCCAGCCGCCGCGGUAA